AGGCAUUUCAUGUUUCAACACAUGUUAACUUUGCUAACUGCCCAAUUAGGAAGUUUAGAGAAAAAAAAAGCAUGAGUUUCAGGUCAAUAAAAUGUGUCUGCAGAUUUGUAGGUGUUAUUUAGGUGCCUGAGAACAACAGGUGAAUACUCCAAGGAUUAAUAGAGAAUAUACAUCCAACUUCUCAGUGAGUCUGCAGAAAGACAGGUGACCUUGGAUGUUUUCAUUUCAGCAGAACCAGAAAUCACCUUACCAGUCUGAUAACACUUUUUUCCCCCCAAGGGUAGUAGUGGGGGUGCAUUGUCGGGGCAGACAGCAGGCUUUGAUGUAUCAAUGAACCAGAGGGAUCUUUGCACAUCAAAUUUAAAAGCACUUAUUGAUAUUCUUCUUCCAAGAUGAAACAUAUUCCAAUCUUCUCAUAAACUUCAGAAGAUCUCAAUUGCUCAAGAAAGUAGGGCAAGCAGAAAAGCUCACCCAACAUUCCUAAACCUGUGAGAGAGCCUGGAGUAUGGAACUCCUGGGGACAUUGCAUCCAUACCACCAGUUCACCAAUGCUAAAGCUGGCCAUGUUAAGAAAUGUGUGGUAACGCUGAACAGUUUAUUCAGGAGGAUAGCCAGCUAUGUAUGUGGCUUCAUGAUCACAAAACCUAUUGAAUGUUAGAAAUC
rnacentral:lncRNA from 1 species